AAGUCGGUUGUGAGUUCCAGUUUGGCUGUCUGGAACCUUGGCGUCAUGUAACCUAGAUCAACGUCUAUCUAGGACCUGGUGUUGAGUCGUAGCAUUGAUAGUGGAUGUGUACACGUGUGCGCACCAUGACACGUGCCUCCGCUCGGAACAAACAGCUGCCACCGUGGCUUGGCAUCUCUCCUUCGGUGCUUCCACCGCUCAGCGCCAGUACAAAAUCAACCAGCACCCACACGGUCAGUCACCGUUCUGCCCCGCGUUAUCCAGAGCACCGAUCGCCGUUCAGAGCACCGAUCCGAGCACCGUAGUGAACCCACACGAGAAGAUGCGUGCCAGGGACGUGGGGAAAGUGGCCCGAGGGGAGCAGGCGCCGAGGCCGCCGCACGAGCCCGGCAGCGUGGCCGACUCGCCGCCGCCGCCGCCCGCGUCGAGCUGCGCACGGCGCCGUGCGACUUCCGGUUCCCGAUCCAGAACCAUACGUGCCACUGCUACGUGCGCUACCUCGAGUACCACCGAUGCAUGAAGGCCAAGGAGGGUGACACGUCGGAGUGCGGCAAGUUCCAGCGCUACUACAGAUCUCUCUGCCCCACGGAUUGGGUUGUAGAGUGGAACAGGCAUCUGAUCUGCUGUAUCAUCUUAGGGAGCGAGUGACGACAUGUCAUUUCGAUGUACCAGUAGUUACAUAAGCACAGAGACAGCGGUCUGAAUCUAUGUUGUUGGCCCCUCUCCUUAAAAUGUUUCCAGCUGGUAGUGUUUGCCA